ensembl:lncRNA
AAAAUAAAGAUCUGUGUUCACUGCUUUCCACUGGAAGGCAGAUGUUCAGCUAUUUUCAAGAAAGCAGGGCUAAUCAGAACUAUCAGUUUCUUUGGAAGACAAACACCAUCGCUCUAAAUGCCCACCCUUCCUCUUUCAUUCCCCUACCUUUUAUUGUUGAACAUGAUGCCAUGUGGCAUGAAAAAACCCUCUCAACUGCUUGGGUUGGCUGUCCUGGAUGAAUCCCCUCCCAUCAUCUUGUGCAUCUGCAGCUCCUUGCUGGUUGGACAGUACGACAAACAGAAGGUCUUGCUGUGUAAGCACUGUUCAGAAAUAGAUAAAACAUUGGUGUGUUAACAACAUUACUGACAUCACAAAUCCAAAACAUAGCACCAUAUGAACUGCUAGGAAGAAAGUUAACUCUAUCCCAACCAAAAUCAAUAUGAUACUGAAAAUAAAAAUUCCCAAGUGCCGUCUUUUCAUCAUGCCAAAUAAACAAAUUUAAAUAAACAAACAUGCAGUAUGACCUGCAAUGCAGUAAUACACUUUUAAUAAUGUAUAUUUUGCUAUAGACAAAAUUCAAGGACCCUUUGGAUUUCUGAGUUAUUACUCUGCCAGUUUGAAGAGUGGGAGCAGAGAUGGCAAAUCACAGCCUUCCAAUCCUGCUUUUUCAACUGAAAAAGCCAUUUCUUCGGAUUGUCCUCAAAGGGGUUUUGAUGCAUCCUAUUGCAGUUUUUUCUACUAGAUGGGACAUACAGUACGCUUCAUAUGCACUCACCGAACACUCACUGAAGUAUAAUCGGAUAACAUGUCAUAAAUUAUUAAAAUUAUAAUUAUAUCUGUAUAUAUCCCAGUGCCUUAUAGAAAACACAGCUUUUCUACACACUGUGCUACCCAGAACAAUGCACGGCUUUCUGUCAGAUUUUAGCAAUAAUACAGAACACUCACAGGCAUGGACUGAUCAAAGAGAAAGAUAGAAGACAGGAGGACUUCAGACCUUCAGUUCCUGACUUCCGUCCCAGCAUGACUGUCUAAAUCACAGUCUCACUUGAACUGGAUAGACCCGCCAUGGGGAGAUGGAGAAGGCGGCUGGGUGGUGUCUCCUUAUCCCAGCAGCACAGAGUGAAAGAGGUCCACCACAGCACACUGGGAUCACCUUGCCCUCCCUCUUCCCUGCUACCCAACCUGUGACUUCAGAGCCAGACACCAGUGGUGGACAAAUAAACAGACAAAAGUGUGGGGAGAUAGAACCUGUAGGAAGCCCUGGUGCAGCAUACAACAAUUAUUGUUGAUUUAAGGAGCAUAUGGAAAUGUCAUUGUCAACAUAACUGGUUUUAACUAAAUAAAGUACUCAUGCCCAU